GGAUGCCCUGCUUGCACAUGCGCACUGUCCCUAACCCACUGCAAAAAGGCAGCGCGAGAAGUGGGUGUGUGUACACAGCAGGAUGCAGGGAGCACGGGCCGCCAGGCCCCCAGCCCUCGGAAUAUUGGGGCCCGCUAGAUCCCCGCACCUGGCGCCACCCGCCGGGCGAUGCCGCCGAAGAUGAUGGCUUCUUUCGGGGGAGCAUCGCACCGUGUCUCCUCUUCUCAUCACCUCUGGGUGUUGUAUUUGGUUGAAGGAAAAGAAACUAAGACAGAGGACGUCCAUAUAAACCAUAGCAAACACUUAAAGAAGCAUGGGAGGAAGUGAUCAAAAAGAAAGCUGUGCCCCAGAGACAGAGAAUUUCUGGAGAGAAUUUCUGGAGGAGGACCUCACAUUGCUUAGUGCCUCAGCAAUAGUUGGAACUGUUAAGCUGGGGCCCCAAACCUGCAGAACAACACCCGAGCUGUGCUCCAGGGGAUGAGGGCACCAGCCCAGAAGCACAUGGAGAUGCCUGUCUCACCCUGAUGCCCAGCUCCUCAGCAUGUUUUUCCUUCAGAGCUUGUCUACUUUCUUUGAAGCAUUGUGGGUUUCUUAAAACAUUGCAAUCUGCAUUAAAAUGUUCUUCUUGUGAAAAC
rnacentral:lncRNA from 1 species